GAGGUCGAAACCGGGAAAAGGUGCAAUUUAUUAGAACAAACCAGGCGGCCUUCGGGCCGUUUUUGGGUUGACUCAAAAUAACUAACCUAAUCGCAGGGUCUCGUACCGGCAACGUUUUCUUUCAAUUAUCUGCCUUAUCAACUUUCAAUGGUAUUGUAUCUAACUACCAGGGUGGUGACGGGUAACGAAGGAUAAGGGUUCACCACUCCGAAAAAGGGGCCUAAAAAAUGGCCCCUACUUCUAAGGAUGGCAGCAAGGCGCGCAAAUCACCCACUCUCAAAAUGAGGAGGUAGUGACAAGAAAUAAACGAAACCGUUCUCUUAAAGGCCGGUCAUCGGAAUGGGUACAAUCUAAAACCCUUUAACAAGUAUCUAUGAAAGGGCAAGUCUGGUGCCAACACCCGCGGUAAAUUCCAGCUCUCAAAAUGCAUAGAAUUAGUGCUGCGGUUAAAAAGCUCGUAGUUGGAUCUGUGCCAGGGACUUGGUCCGCCUUCGGGCGCUAACUGGGCUCCCCGGUUUUUCUGCUGGUUUUCUCCUCAUGGUCUUAACCGGCUGUGGCGGGUGGUUGGCGAUUUUACUUUGAACAAAUCAAAUUGCUCAACACAGGCGUUUCGCUUGAAUGUUCGUGCAUGGAAUAAUAAAAGAAGAUUUCCGUCCUAUUUAGUGGUUUAUACGCUGAAAUAAUGGUUAAUAGAGACAAACGGGGGCAUUAAUAUCUCUGCGUGAGAAGUGAAAUUCUUGGACCGCAGCGAGACGAACUACCGCGAAAGCAGUUUGCCAAGAAUGUAACUUCAUUAAUCAAGAACGAAGUCAGAUGUUCGAAGGCUAUCAUAUACCCCUUUUUCGCCAAAAAAAAACAAAAACCCAACCAU
rnacentral:rRNA from 1 species